UACGUAGGGUGCGAGCGUUAAUCGGAAUUACUGGGCGUAAAGCGUGCGCAGGCGGUUCGUUGUGUCGGUGGUGAAAUCCCCGGGCUUAACCUGGGAAUGGCCAUGGAAACUGGCGAACUGGAGUGCGGCAGAGGGGGGUGGAAUUCCGCGUGUAGCAGUGAAAUGCGUAGAGAUGCGGAGGAACACCGAUGGCGAAGGCAGCCCCCUGGGCUUUCACUGACGCUCAGGCACGAAAGCGUGGGGAGCAAACAGG
rnacentral:rRNA from 1 species